rnacentral:rRNA from 1 species
CAGUCGCCGCGGUAAUACGUAGGGUGCAAGCGUUGUCCGGAAUUAUUGGGCGUAAAGAGCUCGUAGGCGGUUUGUCGCGUCUGCUGUGAAAUCCCGAGGCUCAACCUCGGGCUUGCAGUGGGUACGGGCAGACUAGAGUGCGGUAGGGGAGAUUGGAAUUCCUGGUGUAGCGGUGGAAUGCGCAGAUAUCAGGAGGAACACCGAUGGCGAAGGCAGAUCUCUGGGCCGUAACUGACGCUGAGGAGCGAAAGCGUGGGGAGCGAACAGGAUUAGAUACCCCGGUAGUCCCUGUCUCUUAUAC